rnacentral:rRNA from 1 species
AUUGAACGCUGGCGGAAUGCUUUACACACGCAAGUCGAACGGCAGCACGGACUUCGGUCUGGUGGCGAGUGGCGAACGGGUGAGUAAUGUAUCGGAACGUGCCCAGUCGGGGGGGAUAACGUAGUGAAAAUUACGCUAAUAACGCAUACGAUCUAUGGAUGAAAGCGGGGGAUCGCAAGACCGCGCGCGAUUGGAGCGGCCGAUAUCAGAUUAGGGAGUUGGUGGGGUAAAGGCCCACCAAGGCAACGAUCUGUAGCUGGUCUGAGAGGACGACCAGCCACACUGGAACUGAGACACGGUCCAGACUCCUACGGGAGGCAGCAGUGGGGAAUUUUGGACAAUGGGCGAAAGCCUGAUCCAGCCAUUCCGCGUGCAGGAUGAAGGCCCUCGGGUUGUAAACUGCUUUUGUACAGAACGAAAAGGUUUCUACUAAUACUAGGAGCUCAUGACGGUACUGUAAGAAUAAGCACCGGCUAACUACGUGCCAGCCGCCGCGGUAA